UUCCACUGUCGGCCAUCCAGCGAUGCUGGAGGGCUACCUGGCCAAUGCUGGCCUACACAAAGAGGUCCCGGCUCGGAGGAGCUGAAGAAGAUCCUUGCCUUCCUCGUCAGUUUCCUCUUCAGUUCCUAUCCCAACAAAACCUUCUUGCACCUAUUAGCUCCAAAGAGGCUAUGGUGCCCGUGGAGGUCUGGACCUGAGGCCUGUGCUCAUCACGUGGAUAGAAAACACUCUGACACCAUUCUGGAGGUCUGAUGGGACUCUGACCAAAACACAGAUGAAAUAAAACUUGUGGCUGGAGCUUUUAAAAUUACUUUUUCACCUCAUAGAUUAAUGCUCAUGAUUGCAUGUUAGCAAGACAGCAUCUCCCCAAGGUGAAACUCUCAGGAGACAUUUACUCUUAAACUGUAAUCUGGUUGAGACUACUUGAGGAGAUCUUAGUAGCGAGUAUGUGGAUUUAGUCUCUUCACCAACAGCAGACAGACCCAUGCCAAGAAAGCAGACAUGUUCUCAAAGAAAGCCGAGAGCAGAGAUUGGAAAAAGCUAAAAAGAAAAAGCUGCAGCUUCAGACGACUAUCUGCCUAUGUUGACUGUGACCUCAGAGGCCAACUGGACCACACAGCUGCAGCAGGAGUGAGGGAGAGGAGUCUUCAUCCAGCUUCAAAGAAAACAUCCAGUUAGAAACCCUGCAGCAACCCGACCCAAAACUGUGUCUUCUUGUUGGCCUCAACGUUGAAGUGUCAAACGUCCAACAUCUGGAAAGGAAACCACGCCAGUGUACUGUGAUGUUUCACCAACAUGUGGCAGACGCUGGUCCUGCCUUUCAUGCUGACAUCAGCAGAGAGCCCCGCCUACCUCAAAGCCUCCCCUGUCAUGUAUUGAUCAGGAUGAUUAUGAAGAUGAGCGAGUGCAAAUAAGACUGUAAAAGUCCACGAGCAGAAUGUUUGGAUGCUUUCUAAUGAUUCAUGAAUAUCAUGAGAGUGUUUGUGUGUUUUGUCUUUUCUUUGCUGACGUUUCUUACUAACAAAGACAAUUUACGCUCUGUGUGUU